rnacentral:rRNA from 1 species
AUUGAACGCUGGCGGCAGGCCUAACACAUGCAAGUCGAGCGAGCGGCGGACGGGUGAGUAAUGUAUGGGGACUGCCCGAUGGAGGGGGAUAACUACUGGAAACGGUAGCUAAUACCGCAUACCAUCGGAUAACCCAGAUGGGAUUAGCUAGUAGGUGGGGUAAAGGCUCACCUAGGCGACGAUCCCUAGCUGGUCUGAGAGGAUGAUCAGCCACACUGGGACUGAGACACGGCCCAGACUCCUACGGAGGCAGCAGUGGGGAAUAUUGCACAAUGGGCGCAAGCCUGAUGCAGCCAUGCCGCGUGUAUGAAGAAGGCCUUCGGGUUGUAAAGUACUUUCAGUCGGGAGGCGUUACCGACAGAAGAAGCACCGGCUAACUCCGUGCCAGCAGCCGCGGUAAUUC